rnacentral:rRNA from 1 species
CCUACGGGGGGCAGCAGUGGGGAAUAUUGCACAAUGGGGGAAACCCUGAUGCAGCGACGCCGCGUGAAGGAAGAAGUCUCUCGGUAUGUAAACUUCUAUUAGUAGGGAAGAAAAUGACGGUACCUGACUAAGAAGCCCCGGCUAACUACGUGCCAGCAGCCGCGGUAAUACGGAGGGGGCAAGCGUUAUCCGGAUUUACUGGGUGUAAAGGGAGCGUAGGCGGUUUAGCAAGUCAGAAGUGAAAGGCCGGGGCUCAACUCCGGGACUGCUUUUGAAACUGUUGAACUUGAUUGCAGGAGAGGUAAGUGGAAUUCCUGGUGUAGCGGUGAAAUGCGUAGAUAUUAGGAGGAACACCAGUGGCGAAGGCGGCUUACUGGACUGUAAAUGACGCUGAGGCUCGAAGGCGUGGGGAGCGAACAGGAUUAGAUACCCCUGUAGUC